GACACCAGUCUGGAGAGGUGUGGUCACUUGGAGACACCAGUCUGGAGAGGUGUGGUCACUUGGAGACACCGGUCUGGAGAGGUGUGGUCACUUGGAGACACCAGUCUGGAGAGGUGUGGUCACUUGGAGACACUGGUCUGGAGAGGUGUGGUCACUUGGAGACACCAGUCUGGAGAGGUGUGGUCACUUGGAGACACUGGUCUGGAGAGGUGUGGUCACUUGGAGACACCAGUCUGGAGAGGUGUGGUCACUUGGAGACACCGGUCUGGAGAGGUGUGGUCACUUGGAGACACCAGUCUGGAGAGGUGUGGUCACUUGGAGACACCAGUCUGGAGA